rnacentral:rRNA from 1 species
AUUGAACGCUGGCGGCAUGCCUAACACAUGCAAGUCGAACGGGGCAGCAAUGCCUAGUGGCGGACGGGUGAGGAAUACGUAGGAAUCUGCCCUUAAGUGGGGGAUAACCAGGGGAAACCCUGACUAAUACCGCAUGAUCUCUUCGGAGCAAAGAGGGGGACCGCAAGGCCUCUCGCUUCUGGAUGAGCCUACGUCUGAUUAGCUAGUUGGUAGGGUAAAGGCCUACCAAGGCGACGAUCAGUAACUGGUCUGAGAGGAUGAUCAGUCACACCGGAACUGAGACACGGUCCGGACUCCUACGGGAGGCAGCAGUGGGGAAUAUUAGACAAUGGGCGCAAGCCUGAUCCAGCAAUGCCGCGUGUGUGAAGAAGGCCUGAGGGUUGUAAAGCACUUUCAGUGGGGAGGAGGAUUGAUUGGUUAAGAGCUGAUUAAUUGGACGUUACCCACAGAAGAAGCACCGGCUAACUCUGUGCCAGCAGCCGCCGUAAUAC